CACGUAGGGUGCAAGCGUUGUCCGGAAUUAUUGGGCGUAAAGGGCUCGUAGGCGGUCCGUCACGUCGGGAGUGAAAACUCGGGGCUCAACCCCGAGCCUGCUUUCGAUACGGGCGGACUAGAGGUAGGUAGGGGAGAACGGAAUUCCUGGUGUAGCGGUGGAAUGCGCAGAUAUCAGGAGGAACACCGGUGGCGAAGGCGGGUCUCUGGGCCGUACCUGACGCUGAGGAGCGAAAGCGUGGGGAGCGAACAGG
rnacentral:rRNA from 1 species